rnacentral:lncRNA from 1 species
UACAAGUUGUAUUCUCGAUCUUCUGAAGAACAUUGUAUUACAAUUAUGUCUUUUCUCAAGAUGGAAAUGGAAUAGAACCAUCUAAUAUCAUUUUUGUUACUCUUUAAUGUAUCCUUUUUAAGAUAGCUCCAAGUUGUAUUCUCGAUCUUACAACUGAAGUACGUAUUUAUAAUCGUGAUACAAGAGUUUGAUAAUAAUAGAAGCUUCUGGAAUGUUUUUUUUUGAUGUUGAAUGGAUGGAACAUGUAUUAAUUUCCGGCGGGGUAGGAGCCGCCGGUGACAAUGCAGUGGAAUCCCCAAGUCUGGGAUGGGAGAAAUGAAGGGGAGUCACCAUUCUGGAGUUAGGGUUUUCCGCCCAGAGGAAAGGGGGCGUUUAACAGAAUAAACGGUCACUAGGAGAAAGGAAUGAGAGAGAGAAUUUGCGUUAAUCACUAAUGAUUGAUUAAUUUUGUAUUAGAGUAAUUAAUCAUUUGUUUAUACA